UGGAUGGAUGGAUGGAUGGCCAAAAGUGGAACUGUUGGGCGCACCAAAUCGGCAGAUCCUUUAUGCAGGGUGCAGUGAAAGACUAAAAACAUAUCAAGGCAUUCUGGAGUGAAAUCUGCUACCCGCUGUCAAAAAAAAGUUGCAGGUCAUGAGUCCUCCAAUAGCAGCACACAUCUGAAAACACCAGAGAAUGACUCGGAACAACAACAAGAACAAAAAUCAGACUACAACUGACCAACUCCAGCCUGCCUUCGUUGAGACUUCGCUGAAGAUCCACUUGGCUGGUGAAUGAAAGAAGACUGCCCCCCUCUGGUUAUAAGAACCGUCGAGACCAGAAUAUGCAUCGCCACAUAACACUGUACAUGCUACUACAUACAGUCGUGCACCGUGGUGUCUUGAUUGCAGUACUUUGUUCCCUUUGAGACUAGAGGAAUUAUGUAUGUAUUUGAAUCGCAUCACAGAUGCACAGUUUCAAAAAAAAAAUAUGAUGUGAUUUUACCUAUCCACAAACAAUAAUUGUUUCAAACAGAAGCGGUUUUGAACACAAUUCUGCUGGCCCAGUUCAACUUUACCUUGAAAGAUAGUAUGAUUUGGUAAAAUUCCAUCCAUUUUCUUUGUCGCUUAUCCUCACAAGGGUCACAGGGAGUGCUGGAGACUAUCCCAGCUGUCAACGGGCAGGAGGCGAUGUACACCCUGAACUGGUUGCCAGCCAAUCGCAGGGCACAUGGAGACACACAACAGGCAAACUCACAAUCACACCUAGGGGCAAUUUAGAGUGUCCAAUUAAUGUUUCAUGUUUUUGGGAUGUGGGUGGAAACACACGCAAGCACGGGUAGAACAUGCAAAGUCCACACAGGGAGGGCUGGGAUUGAACCCAGGUCCUCAGAACUGUGAGGCCAAUGCUUUCCAGCUGUGCCACCGUGCCGCCCACAAAAUUAUGAUUAUCAUUAUUGGUCGUAGUAGUAAUAUGCAUGGUCGGUUAAUCGGCCAGUGUAGCACACCUCUCGCCCAAAGAAAGUCGGGAUAGGCUCCACCACACCUGCGACCCUGGUGAGAAUAAGCAGUAUGGAAAUGUUUGGAUCGAUUAGUAGUAUUGGUAAAUAUUGCUUUCAUAUCAUGUUUUAUGAUGAUUGUGUCAACCAUUUUAUUUUCAAAGGACAUUAUAACAUAGGUCAGCCGGAAAGCGUUAGCGUCACAGUUCGGAGGUCCCGGGUUCAAUCUCGGACCCGCCUGUGUGGAGUUUGUAUGUUCUCCCCAUGCCUGCGUGGGUUUUUUCUGGGCACUCCGGUUUCCUCCCACAUCCCAAAGACGUGCAUGGUAGGUUAAUUGAAGACUCUAAAUUGUCAUUAGGUGUGAUUGUGAGAGCGUCUGUUUGUCUCGAUGUGCCCUGCGAUUGCCUGGCAACCAGUUCAGGGUGUACGGUGCCUCCUGCCCGUUGACAGUUGGAUAGGCUCCAGCUCUCCCGCAACCCUCGUGAGGAUAAGCGGCUAAGAAAAUGGAAGAAAUUAUAACACUGACCCUGUUCUGUCAGAGAAAUAUCAUCAUGAAAUAAAAUGAUCAGCUCAGUAA